rnacentral:rRNA from 1 species
UACGUAGGGGGCUAGCGUUGUCCGGAUUUAUUGGGCGUAAAGAGCUCGUAGGCGGUUCGGUAAGUCGGGUGUGAAAACUCUGGGCUCAACUCAGAGAUGCCACCCGAUACUGCCGUGACUUGAGUCCGGUAGGGGAGCACGGAAUUCCUGGUGUAGCGGUGAAAUGCGCAGAUAUCAGGAGGAACACCGGUGGCGAAGGCGGCGACCUGGUUCGAUACUGACACUGAGGUGCGAAAGCGUGGGGAGCAAACAGG